rnacentral:rRNA from 1 species
AGAGUUUGAUUCUGGCUCAGAACGAACGCUGGCGGCAGGCUUAACACAUGCAAGUCGAACGGAACAUAGGGUGCUUGCACUUUAUGUCAGUGGCGCACGGGUGAGUAACGCGUAGGAACCUGCUUUUAGCCUGGGAUAGCCUCUGGAAACGGAGGGUAAAACCGGAUGAGCCCUGAGGGGGAAAUGAGUAAUCAGCUGAAGGAGGGGCCUGCGUUAGAUUAGGCAGUUGGUGGGGUAACGGCCUACCAAACCGACGAUCUAUAGCUGGUCUGAGAGGAUGAUCAGCCACAUUGGGACUGAGACACGGCCCAAACUCCUACGGGAGGCAGCAGUGGGGAAUAUUGGACAAUGGGGGAGACCCUGAUCCAGCCAUGCCCGCGUGAGUGAUGACGGCCUUCGGGUUGUAAAGCUCUUUUACAUGGGAAGAUGAUGACGGUUACCAUGAGAAUAAGCACCGGCAAACUUCGUGCCAGCAGCUGC